rnacentral:lncRNA from 1 species
CAAGGGUAUUACACCCAACGGUGAGAUUCAAACCUGCAACCUUUAGGUGCAAAGACAGCAGCUCUUUCCACUACAUUACCAAGCAGUCCGAGAUGGCCUUCCAGAAGUACUCGAACUUUUGACUGGUAUUUUCCAGCUUCAUAUCACUACGACACAAAAUACUGCUUACAAAGAUAUCCUGCUUUCAAGCUCAGGUGCUCGUAAAAAAUAGGCUGCCGUUUCUUGCACUGAGCGUGACAUGCGGCGCAAUCGGUGUGAUUCCGGUUGGCUCCGUGUUCCACACGCAGGUACUGAGCACAGGACAGAUGUUUGUGGGACAGCAGACUGAGGCCGGUGAGUGGGCAGGUGCGCGCAUGUCAGCGUGUCACAAAGUAGGCCGGCAAAGGAUCGUGCACCUUGCGCCCACAUUCCUGGACGGGUCACAUUCUUUCUUCCGAAAGGGUGCUUUUUUUUUUUUUUUUUAGCAGGCCGCCCGACAGGUUUACAAGUAUUGCGGUGACUCCGAUGGAUGAAACCAACCCCGCUGCUCCAGGACGCCGGCCCACUUCAGCCUAUGUUCCCUGCAUCAGUAAUACUACAGCAGCAGAUGGGAUUCCAACCCGGACCCUACAAGUACAAGAUGACCGCUCUAACCACUGCGCCACCUGCUGCUAUGUGAAGGGAACAACAACACUCUUCAACACCGCAAACAGGUGCCCAGGUAGUGGCACAUUAAUGUUCUCCAGUGGAAAGAAAUUAAAACCACUGCAUUUAAAUACUGUAUCUCUUUGCUGCUUUUGUGUCAUGAAGACACAUUGUUUGUACCUCUGGAGUUUCUUCCCUUGCACAACUUGAGAAACUUGUUAAUGUUCACCAGCCAACAAUCUGGCAGGUAAUUGCACAUUUCUUGAGUGCUCUUCCCUAGAUGUUUCUCCCUGAGCACUGAACGGCACUGCCAACGUGGAGUAAGUGGAGACGUGACAAGCGCCGCCACAUGAACGUAUCUUAUCUGUUGAUCUUUCAAUCGGUUCAACUUAAGGGAAAACCCAAAAUUUCAAAAAAAGCUCCUCCUGUAGCCCUGUUUAAUGCAGUAAACACUUUUAGCAUUAAAUCAUAACACAUAUGACGAGUAGGGGGACAGCUGGUAGCGGAGGGGUUAGAGCUGCUGCUUUCGGACCCAACGGUUACAUGCUCGAUUCCCACCUCCAGCUAUAGUACCCUUGAGCAAGGUACUUACCCUAAAUUGCUCCAGUAAAAUUACCCAACUGUAUAAUGGGCAA